UUAAAUUGAAGAGUUUGAUCAUGGCUCAGAUUGAACGCUGGCGGCAGGGCUAACACAUGCAAGUCGAACGGUAACAGGAAGAAGCUUGCUUCUUUGCUGACGAGUGGCGG
rnacentral:rRNA from 1 species